ensembl:antisense Gm15635 predicted gene 15635
AGGAGUCUGGGCUGUGGAGUGCCCUUUCAACCCUGGAUUCUACAUGUCUGGGAGCUUCUGCAAAUAUUCCUGUAUUUGGAUGGAACACAAUUGAAAUCCCUUCCAGAAUGUCAAGUGCCCCCACCAGAGGACCUGCCCCAGGAUCCCAGGCGUGCUCUACCCUAGCUGGAGAACUGAGGUUGGAUAGGAGCUGGAGCUAGAAGAGAGGCUGAGUCUAAAGGGAAGCGAUUAUAGAGAUCUCAUGGAGACUCAGAGGAACACAAGAGGGAAACUCCAUUGGCCUCGGAAAGCCUCAGUGAACUAGAACUUGGAACGCAUCAAUUAUAAGAUCUUUGGUCUUGUGUGAUGCCUGCAAUUUGAUGGGUAGAGCA